rnacentral:lncRNA from 1 species
AACAUCCAAGGCUCAGUGUCACGGUGUGUCCCCCCCCAGGUGUGCAACAACCACGGGCACUGCCACUGUGAGCGGGGCUGGGCCCCCCCAAGCUGCGCCAUCCCCGGGCCGGGGGGCAGCCAGGACAGCGGCCCUGCAGCAGCAGCAGGAGGAGGGGGCAGCGCCCUCCCCACGGUGCUGCUGCUGAGCGCGGUGCUGCUGGCUGUGGGGCUGGCGGUGGGGCUGGGCUGCGGGCGCCGUGCGGGGCUGCAGCGCCGGCUGUGCCAGCUGGGCAAAGGGAAAUCCUGCCAGUACAGGACCUGUCCCAAAGCAGGACCCGGCCCCAAUCAGGACCCAACCCCAUGCAGGACCUGUUGCCAAUCAGGACCCGGCCCCAAUCAGGACCUGACCCCAAUCAGGACCUGACCCCAAGCAGAACCUGUCCCCAAUCAGGACCUGUCCCCAAUCAGGACCUGUCCCCAAGCAGGACCUGUCCCCAACCAAGACCUGUCCCAGAGCAAAGCCUUUCCCCAGCCAGGACCCGUCCUGGAGCAGGCCCUGUGUGCGGGAUGACCUGAGCUGUGUCCCCUUUUGGUGCAUGCGCUGCACUGACCUGCAAUGGCACCGUCCCCCUGUCCCCCUGUCCUCCCGUCCCCCUGUCCCCCUGUCCUCCCGUCCCCCUGUCCCCGUAUCCCCAUCCCUGUCCCUGUAUUCCCACAUUAAUCCCCAUCUCCCCACCUCC